GAUGAACGCUGGCGGCGUGCCUAAUACAUGCAAGUCGAGCGAACAGACGAGGAGCUUUCUCCUCUGACGUUAGCGGCGGGCGGGUGAGUAACACGUGGAUAACCUACCUAUAAGACUGGGAUAACUUCGGGAAACCGGAGCUAAUACCGGAUAAUAUGUUGAACCGCAUGGUUCAAUAGUGAAAGACAGUUUUGCUGACACUUAUAGAUGGAUCCGCGUCGCAUUAGAUACUUGGUAAGGUAACGGCUUACCAAGGCAACGAUGCGUAGCCGAGCUGAGAGGGUGAUCGGCCACACUGGAACUGAGACACGGUCCAGACUCCUACGGGAGGCAGCAGUAGGGAAUCUUGCGCAAUGGGCGAAAGCCUGACGGAGCAACGCCGCGUGAGUGAUGAAGGUCUUCGGAUCGUAAAACUCUGUUAUUAGGGAAGAAAAAAUGUGUAUGUAACUAUGCACGUUUUGACGGUACCUAAACAGAAAGCCACGGCUAACUACGUG
rnacentral:rRNA from 1 species